CACAUUCUCUAAGAGUGUGAUGCCUUUGAUCAAUCAAAAUUUAUGUUGAUUGAUCAAAGGCAUCACACUCUUAGAGAAUGUGA
rnacentral:miRNA from 1 species